CAGGUGGUCAGGUAGAGAAUACCAAGGCGCUUGAGAGAACUCGGGUGAAGGAACUAGGCAAAAUGGUGCCGUAACUUCGGGAGAAGGCACGCUGACACGUAGGUGAAGUGAUUUACUCACGGAGCUGAAGUCAGUCGAAGAUACCAGCUGGCUGCAACUGUUUAUUAAAAACACAGCACUGUGCAAACACGAAAGUGGACGUAUACGGUGUGACGCCUGCCCGGUGCCGGAAGGUUAAUUGAUGGGGUCAGCGCAAGCGAAGCUCCUGAUCGAAGCCCCGGUAAACGGCGGCCGUAACUAUAACGGUCCUAAGGUAGCGAAAUUCCUUGUCGGGUAAGUUCCGACCUGCACGAAUGGCGUAAUGAUGGCCAGGCUGUCUCCACCCGAGACUCAGUGAAAUUGAACUCGCUGUGAAGAUGCAGUGUACCCGCGGCAAGACGGAAAGACCCCGUGAACCUUUACUAUAGCUUGACACUGAACAUUGAGCCUUGAUGUGUAGGAUAGGUGGGAGGCUUUGAAGCGUGGACGCCAGUCUGCGUGGAGCCGACCUUGAAAUACCACCCUUUAAUGUUUGAUGUUCUAACGUGGACCCGUAAUCCGGGUUGCGGACAGUGUCUGGUGGGUAGUUUGACUGGGGCGGUCUCCUCCUAAAGAGUAACGGAGGAGCACGAAGGUUGGCUAAUCCUGGUCGGACAUCAGGAGGUUAGUGCAAUGGCAUAAGCCAGCUUGACUGCGAGCGUGACGGCGCGAGCAGGUGCGAAAGCAGGUCAUAGUGAUCCGGUGGUUCUGAAUGGAAGGGCCAUCGCUCAACGGAUAAAAGGUACUCCGGGGAUAACAGGCUGAUACCGCCCAAGAGUUCAUAUCGACGGCGGUGUUUGGCACCUCGAUGUCGGCUCAUCACAUCCUGGGGCUGAAGUAGGUCCCAAGGGUAUGGCUGUUCGCCAUUUAAAGUGGUACGCGAGCUGGGUUUAGAACGUCGUGAGACAGUUCGGUCCCUAUCUGCCGUGGGCGCUGGAGAACUGAGGGGGGCUGCUCCUAGUACGAGAGGACCGGAGUGGACGCAUCACUGGUGUUCGGGUUGUCAUGCCAAUGGCACUGCCCGGUAGCUAAAUGCGGAAGAGAUAAGUGCUGAAAGCAUCUAAGCACGAAACUUGCCCCGAGAUGAGUUCUCCCUGAGACUUAGAGUCUCCUGAAGGAACGUUGAAGACGACGACGUUGAUAGGCCGGGUGUGUAAGCGCAGCGAUGCGUUGAGCUAACCGGUACUAAUGAACCGUGAGGCUUAACCUUACAACGCCGAA
rnacentral:rRNA from 2 species